GACGAACGCUAGCGGCGUGCUUAACACAUGCAAGUCGAACGGUAAGGCCCUUCGGGGUACACGAGUGGCGAACGGGUGAGUAACACGUGGGUGAUCUGCCCUGCACUUCGGGAUAAGCCUGGGAAACUGGGUCUAAUACCGGAUAGGACCCUGGGAUGCAUGUCCUGGGGUGGAAAGCUUUUGCGGUGUGGGAUGGGCCCGCGGCCUAUCAGCUUGUUGGUGGGGUGAUGGCCUACCAAGGCGACGACGGGUAGCCGGCCUGAGAGGGUGACCGGCCACACUGGGACUGAGAUACGGCCCAGACUCCUACGGGAGGCAGCAGUGGGGAAUAUUGCACAAUGGGCGCAAGCCUGAUGCAGCGACGCCGCGUGAGGGAUGACGGCCUUCGGGUUGUAAACCUCUUUCAGCAUCGACGAAGCGAAAGUGACGGUAGGUGCAGAAGAAGGACCGGCCGACUACGUGCCAGCCGCCGCCGUAA
rnacentral:rRNA from 1 species